AAUCAACGCUGGCGGCGUGCCUCAGACAUGCAAGUCGAACGCGAAAGGCUCCUUCGGGGGUACACGAGCGGCGAACGGGUGAGUAACACGUGGGUGACCUGCCCUCAGCUCUGGGAUAAGCCUGGGAAACCGGGUCUAAUACCGGAUAUGACUCCAUGACGCAUGUUGUGGGGUGGAAAGCCUUGUGCGGCUGAGGAUGGGCCCGCGGCCUAUCAGCUUGUUGGUGGGGGAUGGCCUACCAAGGCGACGACGGGUAGCCGGCCUGAGAGGGCGACGGCCACACUGGGACUGAGACACGGCCCAGACUCCUACGGGAGGCAGCAGUGGGGAAUCUUGCGCAAUGGGCGAAAGCCUGACGCAGCGACGCCGCGUGAGGGAUGACGGCCU
rnacentral:rRNA from 1 species